UACGUAGGGUGCGAGCGUUAAUCGGAAUUACUGGGCGUAAAGCGUGCGCAGGCGGUUCGUUGUGUCGGCGGUGAAAGCCCGGGCUUAACCUGGGAAUGGCCGUUGAAACUGGCGAACUGGAGUGUGGCAGAGGGGGGUGGAAUUCCGCGUGGUAGCAGUGAAAUGCGUAGAGAUGCGGAGGAACACCGAUGGCGAAGGCAGCCCCCUGGGCUAACACUGACGCUCAGGCACGAAAGCGUGGGGAGCAAACAGG
rnacentral:rRNA from 1 species